UGCUCAGGGGAUAGAGCAUCGGUUUCCUAAACCGUGUGUCGCAGGUUCGAAUCCUGCCGGGG
rnacentral:tRNA from 2 species